AAACGACUCUCGGCAACGGAUAUCUCGGCUCACGCAUCGAUGAAGAACGUAGCAAAAUGCGAUACUUGGUGUGAAUUGCAGAAUCCCGUGAACCAUCGAGUUUUUGAACGCAAGUUGCGCCCGAAGCCAUCUGGCCGAGGGCACGCCUGCCUGGGCGUCACG
rnacentral:rRNA from 1 species